AGAGUUUGAUCCUGGCUCAGGAUGAACGCUAGCGAUAGGCUUAACACAUGCAAGUCGAGGGGCAUCAGGGCUUUCGGGCCGCUGGCGACCGGCGCACGGGUGAGUAACGGGUAUGCAACCUACCUAUCACCGAGGGAUAGCCCAGCGAAAGUUGGAUUAAUACCUCAUGAUACAAUAUUUCCGCAUGGUUUUAUUGUUAAAGAUUUAUUGGUAAUAGAUGGGCAUGCUUAGGAUUAGUUAGUUGGUUGAGGUAACGGCUCACCAAGACAACGAUCCUUCGGGGAACUGAGAGGUUUAUCCCCCACACUGGGACUGAGACACGGCCCAGACUCCUACGGGAGGCAGCAGUGAGGAAUAUUGGUCAAUGGACGAGAGUCUGAACCAGCCAAAUCGCGUGAAGGAUGACAGUAUUCAGUAUUGUAAACUUCUUUUAUUGGGGAAUAAAGUUUCGCACGUGUGCGGUUUUGUAUGUACCCAAUGAAUAAGCAUCGGCUAACUCCGUGCCAGCAGCCGCGGUAAUACGGAGGAUGCGAGCGUUAUCCGGAUUUAUUGGGUUUAAAGGGUGCGUAGGUUGGUUUAUCAGUCAGCGGUGAAAUGCCAUAGCUUAACUAUGGAGCUGCCGUUGAAACUGUAGAUCUUGAGAGUGAACGAGGUAGGCGGAAUUCGUAGUGUAGCGGUGAAAUGCAUAGAUAUUACGAAGAACCCCGAUAGCGCAGGCAGCUUACCAGGCCACAUCUGACACUGAAGCACGAAAGUGUGGGAAUCAAACAGGAUUAGAUACCCUGGUAGUCCACACAGUAAACGAUGAUAACUAACUGUUUGCGAUAUACAGUAAGCGGUACAGCGAAAGCGUUAAGUUAUCCACCUGGGGAGUACGCCGGCAACGGUGAAACUCAAAGGAAUUGACGGGGGCCCGCAC
rnacentral:rRNA from 1 species